rnacentral:lncRNA from 1 species
CAGCUUAAUUCUACGGUAAGGACUUAAUUCUACGGUAAGUCUGACAUCCACAUUUUAAGAGUAAAUGAGUUCUCCUUAAUUCAACUUUGUAAGUAAUUCAUUUUGCAGGGGACAUACAUCUUCUCUUUUUAUCACUGUCGUCAUGGACUUUUUGCUGAACUCGCAUAACUCUAAUGGAGGACAUAGAGGUGUUGGUGGACAGAAUGUUGGAAAUACGAGGGCAACGAUAUGUUGCACAUGCGGACAUUAUUCAAGUUCUGAGAUAACCUUCUUAUUGGUGAAGGGGCUUAUGGCUGUUAUGAGAAUUUCAAUAGAGUGUCCAGAGAAGCAAUGAGACAGCUUAUCAGUAGGGUGUACUUCUUUUAAAAAAGAGCUAGGAAGGAGCUGGGUGUGGUGGCACAGGCCUGUAAUCCCAGCGGCUCAGGAGGCUGAGGCAGGAGGAUCGUGAGUUCAAAGUCAGCCUCAGCAACUUAGUGACGUCCUAAGCGACUCAAUGAGGCCCUGUCUCUAAAUAAAAUCAAAAAAGGGCUGGGGAUGUGGCUCAGUGGUUAAGCACUCCUAGGUUCAAUCCCCAUACACACAAACAACAACAACAACAACAACAACAAAACAAAACAACAACAACCUAGGAAGGAAGGAAGAAAGAAAGACAUGUGACGUGACGGAAGGGAAUAAGAUGCAAGGGAAGCCUAGAGGGGAGAGGAAUGAGGAGGGAAAAGUGAAUGAAAAUGGGAACAAAGUCAGCCCCUGGCAAAGUGUAUUAGGAAAAUAUGCCACGGGGUACAACACUGUGUGAAAUACCUUGGAACCAGCUAACUGAUGUUUUUGUCUUCCCCACUGCCAGCUUGUGGCUCUCGAGAGAAAAUUUCAAAGCUUCCAACAGGUAAGGCCCAUAAUGACUUAUAUCUUUCACUGAAAAAUGCACAAGAACCAUCGACAGAGUCGAUAUCCUUAUUUUAAGGGUAGAUAGAUGAUUGAUAUCAAAGAUGUGCUUUUCCCAUAACUUAGUUCUCAUCCCAGCUUCUGCUUCCCAGGAUGCAGACAAGGACCCCGAAUCUAAGAGAGAUGCAGUGAUCAGGCCAGGGUCACUGGGCGCGUGAGGUUUUGUGCCUCCAAGUUCAUCGCCCACGCGGAUCCCUUCUCACAAUGGCACCUUUAACUCUUUGACAGUAGGUUUAAAUGUGCUCUGCUUGAUCAGCUCUCCGUCUCCCAACUUGCUGAUUCUGGCAUCGAGGACUCAGUUUUGAAAAGUGAAACAUGUUUUCUAACAUGAAGUUCCAAAAUCUGGGGUGUAUCACAAAUAUUUCAGAUUUCCUUGAAAUUCCAUUUGCUGGUAACUAAAUUUGAACCAUUUCAUACCACAAAUGUUCUAUAACUUUACCAAAUGCUUACAAGCCGACUGUGUACUUCCAAGCUUCUUACCUUUUUUUUUUUUUUUGUGAGAAGCUGGACUCUUUAAAGACUUUUAUGGAAACCAUAACCUUUUAUCCAGAGAGAUGUAGACUCUCCCCCCAGUUGUUGUUUUGUGGGAUUUUAGAUUAAGACUCUCUGUAGAACAUUGUUCUCUACUUUCUGUGCUUGAAGUUUGUUAGCAAGUUUAUGUAUAUAUUCGUUUUCCCCACUUUGACAAUGGGUUGCACCCUGACGCUUCAUCAUUUUAAGAAGUGGUUGAGUGAAUGAAAAUUAGUAAGGAAUUGUGUUAUACAACAAGACCCAGCACUAGAGUUUUUAGCCUUCUACAAGGCUUCACUGUUUCUGCCAAAGGUCAAGAACUGGAGAACAUAGUCCCAAUGAGCACAGGGUGUCCUCUCUCUCCUCAUCCCUCCUGGAGAGUUUUUAGCACUUUCUGAACAGAAAUGCCUUUCAGCCGUUGGUGGGGGCAUAGGCUCUCUGGCCACCACAAUCCCUACCACUCCCUAUUGUCUUCCUUCUGACUGCUAACCUUCAUUUCCUGCUGGGCCCCAUGAGUUUUGGAGUUUCAAAUCCCCAAACAGUGUUGCUUUUGUAAGUCAAAAGAACUUCUAAUGAGCUCCUGGUGAACAUUCUUAAUAGUGCCUUUUGAAGGACACAGCUCAUUAUGGUACUGGCAUAAAGACAAAGAGAAUAAUGAAAGAGAACAGAGUCCACAAAGAGAUCUUCCCCCAACACACAUGCAUGGUCUCCUGAUUUAUGACAAGGAUAGAGAGAGAAUAGGCUUUGCACUAAAUGGUACUGGGCCACAAAACUGUCCUCUGGCUCUCUAUUUCAUCUGUAAACAAAGGAAAUGAACUUGAUUUUUUGCUGUGCACCACUGCAUAUAUACCUAAAUGUAAUGCAUACUUUGCCCCUAUUUAGGCAGAGAAAUCAACUAUCAGUAAAGUUAAUAAAAAUAGAUUCGUUGCAUUAUCCUUUGUCCCCUCAAAAAAGGUGUCUCUGUCCCUAAAGACAUUAAAAAUCUUAUAAGAUUGAAACUGGGAGCUGACAUUAGUUUAGAAUGGCCAGGUUGUGUAGACAAAGGUAGGUCUGUUUGCCACCGGAUUGAAAGCGGUCAGGUGAGCACAAGGUGGGGAGUGGAUCUCAGCGGGCCACAUUGCAAACAAAGGGGCUUGGAGCAAAAUGAGUUCAGUCAUUUUAACCCAUGGGAGGAGGGGGUGGCAAUAAAAAGGGAUCAGAUUUCAAAGGCUUAUCUGGAAGUACUAAAGAUAAGAAUAACAGGGCAAAGAAUGGGAGAUUUCCAUUUAUUUUUUCUUGUGCAAUCAGAAUCAUUCGCUCUUGUCCACUGACCCAUGAACAAUUCUUUUCCAGAGAACAGAGUAAGGACCUUUUUCCUUCUGGUUAAAAGCACAUAAAGAGUUAAGGAAUGGGAACACAACUGAUAAUAGCAAGCACCUCUUAGGUUUUCAUAAGAGAAUCGAUUUGCCAAAGGACUGGAGUAAUUGAUUGGAAGUGGAGGAGACCCCACUGAUAAGGAAUAAAAAGAAAUUUUUCAUACCCGCACUGAGACCUGCCCUUCGUCCUGGGAACUGCGGUGUCAUGAGCUCACUGACUGACCUCUCUUUUUUUUCUAGACAGUGGACAAAAACUUUUGCAGCAGCCAUCCCUGCCAAAACGGUGGAACCUGCCUCAAUCUGCAUGAUUCUUUUUAUUGCAUCUGUCCCUCACAGUGGGAGGUGAGUCACUUGCCUUUGAUUAAAAGACCUGAUGAGACAGCAUCUGUGAUUUUUUUAUGGACUCAUUCAGACAUAUUUAAUUCUUCAUCUAAAAUCUUCAGGAUUCUUGACUCCUGGAUCAGAGUGAAUUUUACUGUGUAUGCCAAAGGAUGGCAAGUAUGAUUAUAUAACCCAGUGAAUGCCAAGCCAACCUAAGGAGGAGUUCACUUGCUUGGAUAAUUACACUGAAGGCCGUGAUAUUUCCGUUACCAUUAAUUUUUUAAAUUUAUUUUUUAAUUUGUUCUUUUUAGAUAAACAUGAGAGUAUAUUUUAACAUAUACAUAAAUGGAGUAUAAUUUAUUCUAAUUAGGAUCCCUUUCUUGUGUUUUUAUAUAAUGUGGAGUUUCACUGGUCACAUAUUCUUAUAUGAACAUGGGAAAGUUAUAUCAGAUUCAUUCUACUGUCUUUUCUGUUACCAUCCUCCUGCCCUACCCUACAUUCCCCUUUGUCUAAUCCAAUGAACUUCUAGUCCCCGUCCCAUUAUUGUGUGUUAGCAUCUGUACAUCAGAGAGAACAUUAGGCCUUUAGUUUUUUGGGAUUGGCUUAUUUCACUUAGCAUAAUAUUCUCCAGUUCCAUCCAUUUACGGACAAAGGCCAUAAUGCCAUUCUUCUUUAUUGCUGGAUAGUAUUCCAUUGUAUGUAUGUACCACAUUUUCUUUAUCAAUGCAUCUGUUGAAAGGCACCUAGGUUGGUUCUAUAACUUAGCUACUGUGGAUUGAUCUGCUAUAAACACUGAUGUAGCUGCAUCACUGUAGUAUACUGAUUUUAAAUCCUUUGGGUACAAACCAAGGAGAAAACUGGGUCAAAUGGUGGCUUCAUUCCAAGUUUUCUGAGGAAUCUAUACUGCUUUCCAUAAUGGUUGCAACGAUUUGUAGUCCCCCCAGCAAUAUAUGAGUGAACCUUUUUCCCCACAUCUCACCAACAUUUAUUCAGCCUUGAAAAAAAUUAGCAUUAAUUUAAAUUGUUCAGCUUUGGAAAGUAAAAUGACUCUUGACAUAAUUAGUUUUCUUGCAAAAUGUUCCUAACAUUACAUUAAUAUUCCCAGGCAUAGGGCCAUUGUAAAAUGAGAAUUCAUCUUGAUAAGUCUCUUUGUGUGACUGCUGUAUUUUUUUUUAAGAGAGAGAGAGAAUUUUUUAGUAUUUAUUUUUUAGAUUUUGGUGAACACAACAUCUUUAUUUUAUUUUUAUGUGGUGCUGAGGAUCGAACCCAGCGCCCUGUGCAUGCCAGGCGAGCACGUUACUGCUUGAGCCACAUCCCCAGCCCAUGUGUGACUGCUGUAUUCUUAUGAAGAGCUCUGUGGUUCAAUUAGGUCAAAUAUGAAUUCUAGAGGAAGGAUAACUGAUGGUCAAUAUUAGUAUUUUUGUAUUUGGCUUAACUAAGGACUUAUUUACUGUCCAUAUGUAAAUCCUUACACAUACCAUAUGAAAAUGAGCCCCCAGAUGCCUCUGUGACCCAUGACACCUGACUUUCUUCUUUAUGUAACUGCAGGGUCCUCUUUGCUCAACUGAUGUUAACGAAUGUGCGGUUUAUUCAGGAACACCCCUGAGCUGCCAGAAUGGAGCCACAUGUAUGAACACAGUGGGGAGUUACAGGUAACCUCUUUUAAAAAAAGCUGUUGCAUUUUUAAAGGACUAAAAACAUCUCAUAGUUAAAAGAAUCCAAAGUCAAUUGUCCGUGUUACCUAUAAAACUAGGUACUCCAUGGGAAAUACGUAGCUCUGAUUGAGCAAAUACAUAGCUAUUUUUAUUUAGAUCAACAAAAGCUCCCAUUUGCUCUACUCUCACCCUGUGAAGAAGUUUUUUUCGCCAGCAUCUUAAGGAAUGGGAAUAAGGGUUCCCUGUCUUAGUGAGUUCGUGGUUUUAGUAAGCGUAGUAGCUUCAUUCAACACUUAUGUAAAAAUGUUGACCAAAACAGGAUCAAACAUUGAACUGUGUUAAUUAGUAAAUGUGUUUCUUCAUGUAGCCACCAGUUCCCUCUCUGAAUCCACUUGCAGUUUUCUUUUCUUAAAUUUUUAUUUGGCCAAAUGACUUGUCCACAAUAUUCUCCUGCUCAGCUCAGGCAUCGCCUUCCACAGAAAACUUCUGUUCCUUUUCUAAACUGAGUUAGGCAUCACAGUGCCCCAUUUCCCCACCACACUUCUAGACUGUUGUCAUCAAAGUCAUCCAUGAUGGUUCACAUAUUAAUCUUUUUAGUUAUCCAAUCCAGAACUUUGCAGCAGAUCAUUAUCAAGUUUCCUUGUGUGGAGUUCCUUAAAAUCACUUUUUAAAAUAAUCUGUAGAUAUUAUCUUUCCCCAUAUUUUGACUGGUCUCCUGUUUUUCCAAGAGUAUUUAAGAAUUAAGAAAUGGGUUCCGCUAGGAUGUGAACAAAUUCUUUAAACACUGGGGUAUAAUCUCACUGGACUCCAGAGCAAUUGUUUGUUCACUUCCUAAUAUCUACUUCCUCUUGCUCUUCAAUUCCCUGGGAGAAAUAUCCAUUCUGUUCUUUCCAGAAAAACUGAGGGUAGCAAUUUAGUUUUUUUUAAAUAUUUUUUUUUUAGUUAUACAUGGACACAAUAUCUUUAUUUAUUUUUUAUUUAUUUUUUAUGGGGUGCUGAGGGUCGAACCCAGAGUGGGAAGCACUCUGCCACUGAGCCACAAUCCCAGCCUGCAAUCUAGUUUUUAUCCCUGUCAUCUAUUAAGACAUUAUUUUCUCAAAAAGCAGUCACCCUUCUUCUCUUUUCAUUAAAGUGAUUCUUUAAAAAAAAAAAGAUUCUAAUCUUUUAAAUCUGAUCUUUAAAACUUUUGCUCAUUCCAGGUUAAAAUUAAUUCAUUCACUUCUGGUAAUAUGUUUAUGAGUUCAACCAUUAUGCAAAAAUAACCUUAUCAACCCCUAUCUUAAAUUGAACACCAGGUUAUUAAAGACCCUAAAGGGUGGUACAGGACAAGCUGAGUGUUAGAAAUUUGAAGGCACAGCCAUUGAACUCUUUUAAAGGCUUUGCUUUUAGGAUUUGGCUUUUAAUUUAAAUGGUCCUUUGCCCCUUGCUUUUAUAAACGUUCAGACUAGGGCUUAUCUUUCAUUCCCUUGAAAGCAUUAUCUCUUGGUUUCUAUUUAUGGGCAUUUAUCAAGGAGAAUUGCUACUUGGAGAUACCAGUGGCAAAUUGUCCUGACUCCCAGAACUUAUACUUUCUGGCCUUCCCAAUAUCUAGAAAUGUCCUGGAGAUUAAAUCUCACUCCUGAUCUUCCUUUAUCGUCACUGUCUGUCUUGGUAUCUUGUAUGCCAAUAAAGUGAUAAAGAUGUGCAAGGGAGACAAAAUCCAUCAGCCAAACAGGCUGUUAUUUUUGUUGCUCUCAGCACAUUAUUUGUCUUCACUGCAAAAUAGAAAUUGAAAAAAUAAAACCCUUUAACAUUCAUAGCUAUUUAUAGCAUGUCCAGAUACAUACAUAUGAGAGAGGGAGAGGGAGAAGGAGAAGGAGAAGGAGAGGGAGAAACAGAGAGAGACAGGAAGUGGGGUGGGGAGAGAGAAGCCAUUUUAUUUGUUGAGCACAGCAUUUCUAAAUGAAAGCCUCAACUUUGCAAGAGCAGUCCCAAAUCUCUUGUACCUUGCAGUAAAAAGCAUAAGGCCUCCAUCUGCUGGCUCUGGGAAUGAUUUUGGCUUUUAAUCUUUGCCCUUCAUAGAUUUGCUGGAAGACAUCAGGAAGCAGAACAUUUAAAUCUGGUUUCUUGCUCUUGAUAUGAGGAUGAUUAGUGAAGCCUCAGGAAUCCCAGUUGAUUUCCUAUGCCUUAAACACUUGAAUGGAUGCAUAUCAUGGUGACUUUUGGAAGGAAUAAUAUUUUAAAAAAUCCAUGAGCAUAAAAUUUAAUUCUUUUGCAUUGUGUAAUCUGUACAUAAUGAAACAGAGAGCAUUUAGAGGCUUUCUUUAGUCCUAUUAAUUUUGUGAGGCUAAAUCCUUAUUAAUCAGUAGUUUCACUGAGACUAGAAAUCCCUCUGGGAAACUUCAAAACACAUUUGCCAGUGGAAAACUUGAGUCGCUUUUGAAUAAUCUGGACCUGCAAAAUGUGCUCAUGAUGGACAAAGUUUGCUUUGGAUUUGAGGCCUCCUUCAAGGUUUUUGUUUGUUUGUUUGUUUUUAACUCUUAUUGCUGAUUUACUUGGGGAGAAAAAUGGAGUUUUUUAUUUAACAGGAUUCACAGUUCAUAACUGCAAAGACUUUUAAAAAAAUAAAGCACUGUGCAAAUACUAAUUAAUUGGAAGCUCUUUUCAUAGACAAGUUUUUGGCAAAAAUUAUUUUAUAAAGUAAUAAGAACAAGAAAAAUCAUUUUCUAUUCCUACUCGUUCUUGUGACUAGAGGUCUUACCCCCAACUGCCUCAGACAGCUAACAGAACAGUAUUUUGCCACUUCUCAAUAUUGUUAUGGCCUCUUUAUUGUGAAGAAUUGAUACAUAUUGUUUUUCUACUUUUGUGUUUAAGAUAGCCCUUGGGGUCUGAACUUGCCACCCAUGGAUGGUGUAUGUUAUAUACUUAGGGUUCAGAUUUGAAAGGCUUUAUAGGAAAAAGCAAAACAUAAAAUAAUUUGCAUUUGUUCUCCAGGAAUGUGAUGAUGAUUAGUAUAUUUUCUUUUCAUUCAUAUCAAUGGUGGAUUUUAAAACAUACUGAGCUUAAACGAUGAGGAUAAUCUGGUUUUAACUCAGGUGGUAGUUAAGUAUUAAACUUAUUAUCUCUUUCAGUUAGUCAGUAUAUUGAUAUUGAACCAUGGACUCUAACAUAAGUUAAACUAUGACUAUGGAAGCAUCUUUGACAUUAUCUCGAUUGCCAAAUGCACUUGUAAUGUUUCUGAAGUCUGAAAAGCCUAGCUUUAUUCUGCUGGAACCAAGUUGGUGAUAAAAGGUUAUUACAAAGGUGACCUCAGUAACCAAUCAGUAACUAAUAACUAAGACAAGAGUAGCAUUGGGGUCGUUUUAAAAUAUACACAUGGCUUUUAUUUUCAUGUAGGAAAUAUAUGAUUAUUCUUUUUCUUUAAAGGCUGUAUCAGAUCUCCUUGAAAAAUACAUUUUACAUUCAAACACUUUUAUGUUAAAAAGACAUACACAUGCAAAGUCUUCAUAUUAACUUCACCUUCAGAACAUGGAAAUGUAACAGGGAAAAAUAAUGGUGCAGGAGUAACACACACCCGGGUUUUUGUUUAUCUUCUGUCAAUCAUCAAUUCCGUAGCCAUAGGCAGCAUGUGUCUGUAAAAUGGGAUUUAAAAUACUUGUCUUGGGAUCAGAGUGGGGAAGCUUAUAGUCUGGUUGGCUUCCCUUCACCCUCCUGUCUUCUUAUGUUAUUUAAAUUUAAAUGAAAGAGAUCUACUUUGUAACUGGUUAAAGGAGAGUACAGGGUUAAGAUUCACUCAUGUCCCCACGACAAUAGCGAGGGAGAAGGAGGAGGAGAAAAAGAGGAUUCAACUGCAGGUCCAUGGAUCACAAUCUCCUCAUUUACCUGUGGUUAAGUGCUCAGUGAUAAGAAAAACACAAAUUCUGAGCACUUCCUACAGAGGAAUGCAAAAAUGAGAAAUUAUAUCCCAUUUGAUUCAAAUGUAUAUGUCAAGGUCGUUGUACUGUCAUGUGUAACUAAUAAAAAAAUUAAAAAUAAAUAAAUAACCUCUCAUAAGCUAAAAAAAAAAAAAAAAAAAAAGAAUGCCUUUAGAAUUCAGUGUGAACCUAGUGCUCAUGCGUGAUUAGUACACUGUGAGUACUGUGUGUCCCAGGGGUUCCCAAACAGAUCUCGCAUAUCCAGAAAAUAGACUUAGCAAGGAAGAGAAAAAGAAAGGAAAAAAGAGAGAGAAAGAAACUAGAUUCAGAAAGCUAGUGAUCAUUGGUUUUAAGAUCUUUUAAAACAAUUUUGCAGUUGUGUGGUGUGGUGUGGAAGUAGAGUUUUAGCAAUAAAGGCAGUUGGAUCAAAUGCUCAAAUGUGUAUGACAUGUAAACAUUCUGCAAUCCCCCUAAAUCUAAUAAAGUUCUCUGUAAGCAUUUUCUAUGUAAGUAUGGGAAAGAGAAGAAAAAUGGGAAGAGAACACAUGAGGAAAAGUCUAGAAAAAAGAUGAGGGGGAGAUAGGUAGCUAUAGGUAAGGAAAGAACCGAAUUUCUCCUUGAGUUUAAUCAUUUAUUGUGAUUCAUCUAUGAUCUUGUCUUAAAUGAGAAAAAGCACUCUUAUAAUACUGGUAAAUGUGAUUUAUUAAUGAAAUAGCUUUCAUAUAAAUAUAUACGAUGUUGCAAAUUUCACGGCUCACAUUUCUGCAAAAAAUAUUCAUUUAUCUGCAAUUCAAAAAUUUAAUGGGGCAUCCUCGAUUUUUAUUUGCUAAGCCUGGUAACCCUACAUGUGAGUUCGUGGAAACUGUUCACCACUAUCUUACUAUCUGGCCAUGUUCUCUGAUUGCUUCUUCCUUAGGAACUGACCAAGGAUAUCACCACAGCAAUUGUUUCUGGUGCCCACCAUGCACAUGCCACAUCCUGUCACUGGGGUGUGGCUCUUGAUCCUCUCAAACAGCCAAGCUGAUUUCCUGCCAUGUGAUUCACAUGUCAUCUGUAGAUCUUAGCUGAGCUCCUUGAACCUCAGUGGGUAUUGUUGAAAGGGUUUCUUUACCUUGUAGAAUGGCCCCUUUUCCAGAAGACUCAGAAACUAGAUCCUGUUGCCAGGCAUGGGAGGCAAGCAAGGCCAUGCAGGUCCCCAUCUUCCUUAUCUAUGUCCCCUGAUCCUGAGGGUCAGUUCUUUUCAGGAGGGUUUUCUCUGCCAAUGCUGCUGGAGUCUGACAAAUGGUGACUUCUGGGCUCUUCCAUUCCCUCAGAUGUGUUCAGAUGGUGUGAAUAAACUUAGGCUUCUGUGACUCCUCUGUCCCUUCCUUGUCCCAUGUUUCUACCUUACCAGUUCCCUUUAAGGCUGCAGUGCAAAUAUAAAGUUGACUCAGCAACCUUAAGAACAAUAAUGUCUUUAGCAACUUUCUUUAUUUGAUCAUUAUUGGUCUGAAAUCUUCUAGUAGCAAAAUGCCCUUGGGUAUCAUAUAAUAAUUACAUUUUGUUGUGAGUUAAAAUGUGACUAUGAAAGAAAUGUCAUCAUGUUGACUACAUCUUUUAUGGAUAGAAGAUUUAUCACACUUUGUAAUAUGAGAUUAAUCAUCAUAGACUCAGAUAUGGAUAUCAUAUGGCAUGCAGGGUUUUACCAACCUGGAGAGCAUUCUGGAGUCAUUAGUUCCGUCAGUGUCACCUGGGCUUAGUGGAAGGUCCAGCAGAAUGGAUGAUGAAUGACCUUGCUGAUCUCCCUCUUUCCCUUUCCCUUUAUCACCCAUGGUUGAUAGAUGUCUGACCUUUGAAAGUAUUGUUUGAUGACUCGAUACUAGAAGAAUUGUAGAGGUAGUCUUGUGAGAUAUUAAGUCUCGAUUCUCUAAUACUUUAUUUGUGAAGACAAUACAUUUAAUAAAUCUUUGCCUAGAGCAGAACUGUGAUUUUUCUCCCAGGGUUCCAGCCUGCAUUAGGAUUCCAUGUUAAUAUCAUCAAUUUGCAAUUGAAUGUUUUUUUUUAUUGAUGCUAAGAGAUAGACACUAGCCUUUAAGUACAAACCCUGUUAUUGUGUUCUUGUGUUACCAACAGUUGUAUAUGCACACCUGAAACAUAUGGACCCCAGUGUGCCUUCAAAUAUAAUGACUGUGAAGGGGGCUCUCAGAAGCGCUGUGGCCACGGCAUCUGUGAAGAUUUGGACCGAGAGCGACCUGGAGUGGUGGGCCUCUUUCCCAAAUAUAACUCCUUGUGGGACCCAUGGCGGUUACUUCUUCAUCCUGUACUGACUAUGUAGGACAACUGCCCAAUAGAACUGCAGACAGGAAGUCAUUUCCUGCUCAUUAAUAGGGCACAGGCAGGGAGAGAAGAUGCCAUAUUCAGAAAACUGGAGCCAGAUGUUGAAGAUUUCAUUAUAUAAAAUACUAAAUUUUUAUUUCAUUAUAUAAAAUACUUAAUUUUUAUUAACCAAAUUCCUUUAUGAGUCUCUCUGAGACUUUACCUUCCGUUGGCCUUGUGUGUUUGAACAAUGAUAAGACAUGAAAACACAAAAAGGAUUGGUUUUGUCAGCAGCAUGUCAUUUUGAGUCUGGAUUUUUCUGGCCCUGAGCUCCUAUACUGCUGCAGAUUCUUUGAGUUUACCUCUCUGAUAUCCCUCUAUUCCUGGUCCUGGGGACCAUAGCUCCUGGCCCACAAGGUAAUCCAAUCCUGGCCAGUUUGGCUAUUUAGAAGAACUUUGGAACUUUAAUUUUCUAUUAUUUUUCCUGUUCAUAUGAUGUAAAUGGUUUUUUUCCAAUGGUGGAAUGGUGGGGGAGGACUGAGUUGAGGGGAGGUUGGGAAGGAAAGAAUAGAUUCAAAAAGGAAACAAAUAGAGUUGAUUUUCCAAGGUCUAUGCCUACAUGGGUGUUUUUCCUUCUAAAAUCGUAGCAGGGUGAGUACACUGACUUUAAUUAUAUUGACUUGCUGUUCUUGAUGAUUGUUGCUCUUUUCCUGGCAAGAAAAAAGAUAAAUUAUAGGAGUCUCUUACUCUGAAAUAACGAUGUGUCCCCUUUUUUUUUCAUGGUCUAGUCUAAAUGCUGAAAUCACAGGGGAAGAAAGAGAAAGGCCAUUCAAUUGGCUUGAUGGAAACGAAUGUUAGACCAUGAACAGUUGGGGGUUGGUGAGAUUUUCAAAGACUUCUCUUGCUCCUUUUCCUGAUUGUCUUUGUUUACUCUGUUGUCCUCGUGCCAGGCCAACUUCACCUGCAUCUGCGAAGUUGGGUGGGCAACUGGGCCGAACGGUAUCUCCUGCACACAGGAUAAAGAUGAGUGUAGCUUCCAGCCUUCGCCUUGUUCAGAACUUGCACAGUGCUUCAACACUCCUGGCUCUUUCUAUUGUGGAGCCUGUCCAACAGGUACAUUCUCAGGACCACAUGCUAGGUCUGCAUGCCAGGAAGGCAAGGCACCAGAACCAAUUUCCUUCCCCUACUGAUGUGCAAUAUGAGGACCAUUCAUAGGAGGUGUUGGAAUCUAGUUGAAUGUCCUGUUUUACUAACUUCUGCUUGAGAACAUCUUAUUAAUGUAACCUUUGUAUAAUAGAGAUGGAAUGUUUCUCCAAAAUAGUGCUAGAGUCACAUUUUGGGCCAACAUUAGCCAUAGAGUUUAAAAGUUCUAACCUUUUAUUGCCAAGACCAUCAAUUAACUAGACUUGUGGACAAGAAACAAGUAUUUAGUCCUAUUUUUCAUACUAAUCAGAUGUUUGCAAACUUGAGUAAUUCUUUGUCUCCAUUAAAGUCCAGUAGUUUCUGCCUGAGUGUCCUUUGAGUACCUUGUGACCUUCGUAUAAAUAAGGAUGCUUAGCUCUAUCAUAGCCCCACAGACACCAUUCUAAAGGAAAGGCCAUAUGUUGAGUUGCUGAAAACAUGGGCUGUCUCCUCCACGCUCCCUCUCUAACUGUAUGAGAUCAUCACCCACUCAACACAAUAUUUGUAGGGCACCUACUAUGAGCAAAACUCAGUGCUGGGUGCUUUGGAAGCCAUUCACCAGUCUGCAGGGAGUUUACAAGGCCUCUCUCUCUGGAUGUUCUUAGAAAGUAGCGAACAGAUUAUCAUCAUAGCAACCAUUCUUUUAUAAAAGAAUCAUUAAGACACUGAGUAAAGAUAAGCAAUUAUUGUUUUUAUUCUUGCAACCACAAAAAAAAGUCAUGGUAGAACUAGUAUUAUUCAUAUUUUUAAAUAGGAAAACUUAAGGCUUGGAGAAGUUAAAUAGGGCACCAGAACCAAUUUCCUUCUACUACUGACAUGCAAUACGAGGACCAUUCAUAGGAGGUGUUGGAAUAUAGUUGAAUGUCCUGUUUUACUAAGUUUCCCCAAAUUCUGUAGUUUAUAAGUAAUCAGGAUUCUUAGAGGAGACUUUACUUAGACCCAAGGAUAUAAAGGCUUAAAAUUUUAAACAUUAUUAUAAUUUUAACAACUUGAAUUAUAAGAAUAAUACAAACUUGUUAUCAAAAUGAAAUAAAGCAGGAAUGACUAAACCGAAAUAAUAUUCUUCACCUUCAAUCUCAUCCUUUCAAUAAAAUUAGUUAUCCAUUUUGCUUACAAACACUGAAAAGCACAUACAGAUUUUCAUAUUACUAUUUCCUUAAAUUGGGAGUAUGAUUCCAACUCUGCAUAUUAAUAUUAAAUUAAUUAUUUUCAAUUAAAAUAUGCAUCAAAAACUUAUUUCAAUGUGAGUGUGCACAUGUAAGUGAUAUGGGGCAUGCCUGCUCUUAAAAUCAUUUUUAGUAAUCAGUGGUACAGAUGAGUCAUGAGAAUUUCAGUAAUGUCCCUAUUGACCACUGAUUUUUUUCCUAUUAAACAAUGCUGAAAUAGAUAUCUUCUUACCUACAUUUUAAUAUACUGGGUAGUUUUAUCAUCACAGAAUAAGUUUCAAGAAGAAUUUUUAGUCAAAGUAUAUAUAUUUUUAAAAUUUUUAAUGAAUACUGUCAGACUUUUUUCCAAAUUGGUUAUAUUAAUUAAAUAUCCAAUUUACAGUAUGUAAGAAUACAUACUUUGCCAGAAUUUGAUUCUAAGAAUUCAAAACUUUUUUUUUUUUUUUGGCAAUCUGACAGGUACAUGUCAUUUUAAUAUUUUUUGUUCUUUUAGUAAAGUAGAUUUUUAAUGCUUUAAAUCUUUGUAUUUCUUCAUUGCUGACUUAGGUAUAGAGCUAACCUUUCACAUCUUCUUGUUUUUCUAGGCUGGCAAGGAAAUGGAUAUGAUUGUCAAGAUAUCAAUGAAUGUGAGAUCAACAAUGGUGGCUGUUCUUUGGUUCCGCUUGUUGGGUGUGUGAAUACACCGGGAUCUUUCAACUGUGAAAGCUGUCCACCAGGUACUGCACCAGAUUUCCUGCUGUCAUUGCCACCAACACAUACAUUUGAAAGCAGAAUCUUGUACUGUAUUUUAAAUAGGAUUUCUAUCCAAGAAACUGAACAGUACAGAACAUUUCAUUUAACUUAGUGUUUUAGGACAAAUUCGCUAACUACACUAUAGGAAAGAUUUUUUUUUAAAUUUAAUAUCAAUAGAAAACAGGAAGUCUUUAAAAGUGGUGAAAUUGCCACUGAGAUAACACAGAAUUUGAAUUUUUUUGGUGUGAAUCUCAGAUCUGCUGUAUUGUUCUCACAUGUAAUUUAUUAAUAUAAUAUACCAAUGGGAUGUUUUACAUAUGAGGUUUGCUAAACCACAGGCAUGGAAUCCAUAACUAAAUUAGUAUCCAAGAAGUUCAGAGAGUUUUAAGGAAUAAACUGAAAUUUUGCAACUUCUAAUAACAUGAAACAACAAUAUUUCUAGGUGUACCAGUAGUUUCCUCGAUAUAACUGGUUAGUCUUAUCACUAUAUUUAUCUAUCGAUAGAUAGAUAUAGAUAUAGUGAGAAGACUAACCAGUUUUAUCAUAGAACAAGUUUCAAGAAAAGGAAACUAUAUUUUAUAUAGAAACUAUAUAUUACAUAUAUAUAUAUAUAUAUAUGAUUUUUUUAUUAGAAUCAACCUAGAACAUAAUUUAAGAAGUCAGUUAUAAUUUGUCACUCUUUUUAUCAAUUAUAGUAUUUUAUUUUUGACACUUCAUCUUUAUAUCUUCUGUUUUGAUGCCAGAGUAUCUCUGCUUGGUGACUUCAGGGUAUCUGAUUCUAAGAUUGGCAUUCUUUCCCUCCCACCCUUGACAUUAUUUCUCACACCCUGCUCUGAUUUGAUCAGGGUAUGUAGGCGACGGAAGAGUGUGCACUCUCAUAGACAUCUGCUUGAUCAAUAAUGGAGGCUGCCACCCAGACGCAUCCUGCUCCUCAGCUCUAGGUAAUGACUCAUCUCUCUCUUUGUCAUUGGGUAUUUUACUAUGACCCUCCAAAUCAAUUCAACAUUUGAAAAAAAUAAGAUCUUUUGUCCACAAAAUUCAUAUAUUGAUUCUUGAGAAUCAAACCCAAAAUUAAUCCACAUAAUAAAGCCAUGUGCUUGGAUUUUUAAAAAUACAAUAAGGCUUUAAUGAUCUAUUUUAAUUUAGGAAUUAUUUCCCAAGGUAAUUAAGCCAUCUAAUUAAUUCAUGACUAUAUUUCAGCAAGCAGGAAAGAGGAAUGGAGGAAGAAUGAAAUUCCACCUCCCUUUAAAGGACUCUUCCAUUUCUCUGCCAUUGGCUAGAAUUGAGCCAUUUGGCAGACCCUGGCUACAAAGAGAGUCUGGGAAAUGUCGUCUUUGUUUCAGGCCUUGUGAAUCAGUGGAAAUAAGGGGAAAAUGGAUCUAGCAUGAUCCAGUGUCUCUAGUGUUGCAUAAAAAAAGAUUCACCUGCUAUAACAAUAUCUCUGAGAGAUAUUGUAUUAUUGUAUAUAAUCACAAAUAGUACAUAAAAUAUAUUUACUGUAUGAAAAUAUAUAUUUACUUUACAAAAAUAUAUAUUUACUUUACCUUUAACAAUAAUAGAUAUUACAUUUUUCAUCUUGGUCAAUUUUAUAAACAAAAUUAGUUUUUAUCAAGGUCUUUGGAUUUCUAAUAUUAAUAAUUUUCAUAUUUCACUAGUUCUUUUUCUAGUUUGUUCAUAUCUUUUUCUCAUUUGCUUUCUUAUUGAUUUGUAAAAUUUCAUUAUGUACUAAGGUCAUGAUCUCAUUAUCUGUCUUAUGUUUUACAAAUAUUUUUUUCUUAGCAAGUUGUUCUCUUAAUUUUGUGGUGGUAUUUUCUAUAUAAGAAGUUUAAAAUUUUUGUAUAGUUUAAAAAAUAAACCUUUUAUUAUUUCUCUUGUUGGCUCCAUAUUUAGGAAGACCUAUCUUACUGAGACUUUAAAAAUAGUCAGGUACAUGUUCUUUUAUACUUUGAUAUUUUUUCUGCAUUAAGAUCUUUGAUCUUUUUAGAACUUGUAUAUUUAUGAUAUAAAAUAGAAAUUGACUUUGAUAUUUUUGUCCAAAUGCAUAGAACUAUUUAUUGAAUAAUAUGGUAUAUUUCUUGCUAUUUCAAAAUAUUACUUUUAUUUUUUAAUUAACUUGUCAUACAUGUGCAUAAUAUAAGAAUGUGUGUGUGUGUGUGUGUUGGUAUAUAUAUGUAUAUGUAUACACAUAUACUUGCAACUAAAUGCUCUUUAGAGCAUGCUGAUGUGUUUAGAAGCAUAAUUUGUUGACUUGUAUUUCUCCCUGGCUUUACCGUAUUCUAAUUGUGUUCCCUUGGUCAGGGCGUUUAAUCUCUGUGUGCUUUAGUUCUGUGAAAUGAGGAUAAUCACAGUACCUACCUUGUAGGGCUCUUCAAAAGAUUAAAAUAGUCUAUGUUCUUAAAACAGAUACAAAUGUAACUCCUUUUUCAUCUGAUUUUUUUUUUCUUCAGUACUGGGGAUUGAACCCUGGAGUGCUCUAUUACUGAACUGUGUUCCUAGAAGUUUUUAUUUAUUUUUUAACGUUUUUGAGACAGGCUUUUGCUAAGCUGCUCAGGCUGACCUUGAACUUGUGAUCCUCAUGCCUCAGCUUCCCAAGGAGCUGGAAUUACAGGCAUGUGUCACCACACCCAAUUAAAUUGAUUUUCUUCACUGCAGCCCAUAGGUUUAUCCCAGGAACCUUAAAAAACGUCCAGGCAAAGCUGCAGCAGCAUUGGAGUUACUUACUACAUUUCCCUUCUGUAAAUUUUUUUAAAAAAAAUAAUUAACUAUGAAGAAUACAUCCCUAGGCAAUUAUUUUUAAAAAGAUAAAUGCUUUAUUAUUAAAACAAUCUUGCAAAUAAUAUAAGGUGAGACUGAAACACAUUUAUAUCAUCAACUAUUCUGUUAUAAAUCUGUUAUAUUGCAGAAUUUAUUCUAUUUGUUUCUUUAAUUUUUCAGCAAGGUUUUCUAUUUGUCUCAAUAGUAUUUGUUAACGAAGGAAUAUGUUUAAGUUAAUUGCCAUAUUGAUUUCCAUGUAUUAUUUCAACCAUUUUACAACAAUGGAAAGAACAUGUGUUUUCUUCAAUGAGAUAUGACUUUUUGCUAUUAAAUAAGAAAUCUAAAAAUCUCUGGACAUGAAAUUCAGUAAAAUUUUCUAAAAUACUAGGAUAAGUAUUAUUAAAAAAAAGUGGUAGGGGAAGAUCCUAUGAUACUCUCUCACACUGUCUUUAGCUAUUAUCCCUUGUACAUCAUAAUUAACAGUGAAUAUUGAUUCAUAUUAAAAUAGAUUUAAUCAUUCCAAGUCCUUUUGACUAAGUUUAAUCCCCAAACCUUUGAGUUUGUCAUUGUUUUUGUUUUGUAACAUGGAAAUGAAGAACUCAUUAAGAAGUGUGGGAGAGGGCUGGGGCUGGGACUCAGUGGCAGAGCGCUUGCCUGGAAUGUGUGGGGCGCUGGGUUCCAUCCUCAGCACCACAUAAAAAUAAAUGGAGGUGUUGUGUCCAUCUACAACUGAAAAAAUAUUAAAAAGAGAGGGAAAAAAUAAGUGUAGGAGAAGUUUUUGAUGAUUUCCCACUUACCUAUGUUAUUGUAUUACCUUCAAUCUGCAGUUUCACUGCAAAAUUUCUUUAAAGCCUCAAAUUCAUUUAGUGAUGAAUAGCCUGGGUAAAACUAGUAACAUGAAAUCUGAAUGUCCACAUAACUGGGAAUAUGUGAACCACCCAUUCUAAUUCUACUUCUGUGCAAUGUGCGGUAGGCACCUUCCAUGUACAGGUGCUCCUGGCUCUUCCAUAUUCGGGUUGUGUAUCCUUGGUCAAGACAACCUGUCUGUGCUCUGUCCUCAUUUGUGAACUUGUAAAUAAAUAGAGUAGCACCUGCCAUAGGCUAUUGAGAGGAGUAAAUUAGUGCUUUUAACAAAGAGCAUGAUCAGAGGCAUCUUAUUGCCUGCUGAUGACCCCUCCACCAUGAGGAACUCCCAUCUUCUCUUGUACAUCUGUACACAGAACAAUCAGGUAUGGAAAAUGACAGUACUAGUGCUAAUGCAUAUAAUGCAUUGGAAACAUUUAAUGAUUUUAAAAAUUUUAAUUCAAAAAACAGAAAAAUAAAGAUUAUAAUAUUUUCUUCUUUGUCCAUAGGAAUAUGUAGACUUGACAUUGGUGGAUUCUUAUCUAGACACCAGGACCUGAGUUUAUCAUUGCAUUUUAAUGGGGGAGGAUGCCUAUAUUUACACUUACAUUUUUAUUUCUGAACAGGUUCAUUACCUCUUUGCACCUGUCUCCCAGGAUAUACUGGAAAUGGUUAUGGACCAAGUGGAUGUGUGCAACUCAGUAAUAUUUGCCUAAGUCACCCCUGCUUACAUGGACAAUGCAUAGUGAGUCCUUUGUUCUUCAUGGGGAAAUAGAGUGCUUGAAAAUAAUUUUAGUUUCACUUCUAGAAAAUAAAUUUUUAUAUUAGUUUAUGAGUUUCAAGACAAUGAUUGAAGAUUAAGAUAAGGAACCUUGAAUAACACUUGGAUAAAAAGUAGGCAGUAGCCUUAGUUCCCAGGAAAAACAGUCAGUUUAUUUUUUAUUAGAGUGACUUACAAAGUCUACAGUUGAUCCAGACAAAUGUGAGUAUUUAUACUUAGCAAUUGUCAUUUAAACUAACUAAUUACAAGUUGGGCUACUGGAAAAUACUUAAUAUGGUUCAAGUCCUGUUGAGUAUAUUUAGUAGUGUCACUUUUCUUUGUUAUUUGGGUUGAUUUCAUUUUGGGUUGAUAUCCAUUUGUUUUGUGGUAUUGUGCUUUUCUUCUGUCUCCUUAGGACACAGUAUCUAGUUAUUUUUGUCGGUGUGACCCGGGUUGGGCUGGUGUCAACUGCACAGAAAACAUCAAUGAGUGUUCCAGCAACCCCUGUCAGAAUGGGGGAACUUGUAUUGAUGGCAUUAAUGCUUUUAGUUGUGAAUGCACAAGUUCCUGGACUGGAUCUCACUGUCAGAUUCCCCAGCAAGGUAUGGACACCACUUCUUCUACCACACGUACUCCCAGCUUAGAAGUAUCACAAGUCCUUCUGAAGAUUCUCUGAAUGAACCAACGUUCUUCUCCAGUUGCUCAGAGCUAACUCUUUCUUUGUAGGAGUGACAUAGAAUUUAUGAGGCAAAUAUUUAUGUAUCCCAAUUUAAAUCAUAAGAAUUUUUCUUCAAAAGAAUUAAAUUAGUAUUUACCAUUUUGUUUUGCCCUUUCUGAAUCAAAAAAAUAUAAGCUAAGGCAUUUUAGUUUUCUAAGAGAAUAUUUUUCAUGUAGCAGUCAUCAGAUUUCCUUAAAAUACUACAUGUAAUCACAUCCCCUCCCUGCUCUGGAAUAUGCACUGGUUUCUCAUUGCCAUUAAGUAGAAAUUGGGGAUGUUUUCAAAUUAUCUUCUAAAACCAGCCUUCACCCUAUCCAUCUAAACUUAUUUUUCACUACUUCCCUAGAAAUACUUUUGUUUAAACCAGACAUCACUCUGGCUGCCUGACCCCAUGUGCUAUCUGAGUAUUUCCACUUUUUUUUUUUUUUUUUGAGAUGUCUCUUUUCACAAACCUCCCUGAAUUUCUUCCAUAAUAAUUCCUCCAUAAAGUCUUUUCUGACUACUCCAUCCCUCACUUAUUACUCCUAAUUCUGGAUCGACACAUUGAUGAGAUGUUACCAUUUGUUUAGCACCCUGGUGAUCCCAGUGAAGAAAUAUAGGAGCAUAAAACAUUGUCUCCACUUGUUUCUGCUUACCUUCUAGCUGAGGAUACACGACUAACCCAAAUGGCAGAAAACAUACCAGAACUAAAGCUAUGAACUAAAUGUGUGAGGUUAAGUCAAGUUUCAUAGAGGUAAACCAGUCUGGGUUCUCCAAGGUUCAUGGAGAAGGUUCGUGGAGAAGUGAUGGUAUAUUUAAAUUAGACUUUAAAUAAGAGAUGGAGUUUGGGAGUCAACAGAAGAGGGGACAGAGAAAAGGGAAUGGAACAACAGGCCAGAGUUACCUAGACUCUUCCUUUUAGGAGUCUCUUAAAAGCACAGUUCUUCAUCUUCUCCUUUGUAGUUUGUGGAGGAUCGCUCUCAGAGAUGAAUGGAACAAUCAGCUACAAGAGCCCCGAUGAUGGCUAUGUUCAUGAUGUUAACUGCUUCUGGGUUAUCCGAACUGAAGAGGGAAAGGUAAAUACAGUUUCAUUUGCAUAUUAGAAUAUGCACAAUAAUAUUUGAAUAUAUAUUGCAUAAAAUAUACAUAAUGAUAAUUCAAAUGUCACAUAUUGAGUUUUUACUCAGUGCCAGGCUUUGUGCUAGAUAUUUCCCAACCUUUCUCUCAUCAUACACUGACUCUUUGAAAUAAGUAAUAAUAUCCUCAUUUUGUAGAUGAAACCACAAAAAGUAAGGGAAGCAAUGUGAAGUUCUCCCACCCCCAACACUGCUUAGCUUGUAAUUGGGAAUAGUUGAAUUUCAAAGUCAAGUUUGUCUGGUUCCAAAAUCCAUGCUUUAGGAAUGAAUGGUUCUCCACAUUGGAUGACUAACUGCAAGCUAGUAGUUAAUUUAUAAAGUCUAGUUGUUACUGAGACAAUACUGUUUGAAGAUGACCACUCAUAUUAGUAUAUUGAUUAUUAUGCAAUAUCUGUCAUAAGCCAUUAAGAUGAUCUAUUUUUUAAAAUAAAAUUUCUAUGUGCCAAAUACUAUGCUAUUCACAUACAUCACAGCAUUUUUAAUUUCCAGAACCCUAAAGAUAGGAAUUACUAGCUUCAUUUUACAUAUGAGGAAAUGCAGCCUUGAGCAGUUGAGAAAUUCAACCAAGACCAUGUGGUUUGUAAGUGGCUUGUGGUGACUCAACCCCAGGCCAUUGGGUCUCCAAAGCUUAUAACCCUAAGAAGCUAUGUGAAUACUUAACUCUUAAAAUAAAGAUCUGAGCCCAAGUUUUCUGUGCUAUUAUAUCCAACAUUAAUUACUUAAUUAAGUAUCUAUUUCUCAAUCAACUCUUGGACUCAUUAAAGUAAAGUGAUAUGUCUGAAUAGAUAAGAUUUUUCCUUGAAAUUCUUUUUACAUUUUCUAGCAGACUAGUAUCACAGAGGACAUUGUACAAAGGUCAGAAAUGUUAUUUUCCCUUGUGGAGGGAGGUUUCUUUAGGGUCUGGUAAUCCCACAAUAGAAUAAAUUCCAAAACAAAUUUCCCAGUGAGUAUGUUAUGUGAAUUUCCUUCCUUCCAUUUAGUUUUCAUUAAUUCUAUUUCCUGACAUUGAAAAGACUUUUUUUUUCAAGGAGAAGUUCUUAUGUGAAAAAAUUUUAAAUAUGUUUAUUACCAAUUUGUAAGAAAAAUCAUCCUGGUCUUUUCCUGAUUGUUGUAGAUUUAUAUUUUUUCUUUCACAAUAAUGUAUCUAAUUAUAGCAGAAAAUAUAUACAAAUCAGAAUAAUUCAAUAAAUUAACAUUUAUUUGAUUAUCAUUUAAAUUGUCUCAUUGCAUGAAAUGAUGUAAUGAUGGAUAAUAUCUUAAAAAUGCCCUUACAUAGAAUUUCAAAAAUCUCCUGAAAUUCUUAUUUAUUAGCUGAACACUUUGAUUUUAAGCUCUGAUGAAAAUUAAGCAGUCUUUUUUGGUUACUUGUUUUAAAUGAGGUUGUCCAUACAAAAUCUUCUGUUUUAUUCAUUAUAUUACUAUAUUUGAAGUCUGUGCAUUCUAACAGUUUACUUCAGAGAUACAUUUUCAUGUUAUUCUUUUCUACUUGCAUACUCAGUGCUUUUCCUGUUACCUUAUUUCCAUUCUUUACUGUUGGAAUUGCUCACCCUUUAGUGAUAUCCCACCCCUGAGAACACUCAGACUCUAUGCACGUCUGCCGUGUGCCUAUUCAGCCUAUGCCUAAGUACAUCAGUCUGGGCUAUGUGUCUGAGACCUCCAUGGUCUCUUCAUCCCUGAUGGGGAAGGAAGAAUGUAUGUGUGGGUCAUUCAGAGGAUCACAAUAUAGAUUCUUAAGCACAGCAAUAUUAGUUAAAUGUAACUCACAGAUUUUUCAAAUAGACAGUUCAUUACACUGAUUUAGAAACCCUGUCAGACAUACAUUCAAAGUGAUUUUAUUUGAUGUAUUUGCCAGUUUAAUGAAAUCUAAGUGAAUCUAUUUCUUUUAGUCGAUACAUAGUAUUAUACAUACUUAUGGAGUACUAUUGAGGUAUAAUUAAGAAAUGGGAGAUGAAUUCUAAAAUAAUGGACAUGAAAAUAAUGUGUUAUGGUUUUUCUAUUUUUAGGUCCUGCGUAUUACUUUGAUUUUUUUCCAAUUAGAAUCGGUGAAUGAUUGCCCACAUGAGUUUCUUCAGAUUCACGAUGGAGAUUCCUCUGCAGCCUUUCCACUUGGAAGGUUCUGUGGCUCCAGACCCCUUCAGGAAAUCCUCAGCAGUGACAAUGCUCUCUAUUUUCAUCUCUAUGCUGACCAUUUGAGUAAUGGGAGAGGAUUUACAGCAAGAUGGGAAACACAGGAACCAGGUGUGUGUAAACAUGGAGA